AGAGUUUGAUCAUGGCUCAGAUUGAACGCUGGCGGAAUGCUUUACACAUGCAAGUCGAACGGCAGCAUAGAGAGCUUGCUCUCUGAUGGCGAGUGGCGAACGGGUGAGUAAUAUAUCGGAACGUGCCUAGUAAUGGGGAAUAACUAGCUGAAAGGUUAGCUAAUGCCGCAUACGACCUACGGGUGAAAGCAGGGGAUCUUCGGACCUUGCGUUAUUAGAGCGGCCGAUAUCUGAUUAGCUUGUUGGUGGGGUAAUGGCCUACCAAGGCGACGAUCAGUAGCUGGUCUGAGAGGACGAUCAGCCACACUGGAACUGAGACACGGUCCAGACUCCUACGGGAGGCAGCAGUGGGGAAUUUUGGACAAUGGGGGAAACCCUGAUCCAGCCAUUCCGCGUGAGUGAAGAAGGCCUUCGGGUUGUAAAGCUCUUUCGCAAGAGAAGAAAACUUACAAUCUAAUAUAUUGUAAGCAUGACGGUAUCUUGAUAAGAAGCACCGGCUAACUACGUGCCAGCAGCCGCGGUAAUACGUAGGGUGCAAGCGUUAAUCGGAAUUAUUGGGCGUAAAGCGUCCGCAGGCGGCCUUUCAAGUCUGCUGUGAAAGCGUGGAGCUUAACUCCAUUAUGGCAGUGGAAACUGAAGGGCUUGAGUAUGGUAGGGGCAGAGGGAAUUCCCGGUGUAGCGGUGAAAUGCGUAGAUAUCGGGAAGAACACCAGUGGCGAAGGCGCUCUGCUGGGCCAUCAGCAUGUCGCGGUGAAUACGUUCCCGGGCCUUGUACACACCGCCCGUCACACCAUGGGAGUGGGUUUUACCAGAAGUAGUUAGUCUAUCCGCAAGGGGGACGAUUACCACGGUAGGAUUCAUGACUGGGGUGAAGUCGUAACAAGGUA
rnacentral:rRNA from 1 species